AGCAGCCGUGGUAAUUCCAGCUCCAAUAGCGUAUAUUAAAGUUGUUGCAGUUAAAAAGCUCGUAGUUAAAUUUCGGGAUCGAAUUGUUGGUCGUGCUUCGGUACGCACUGGCAUUAUCGGUUCCUACCUUCUGAAGAACCGCGAUGUCAUUAAUUUGGUGUCGUGGGGAAUCAGGACUGUUACUUUGAAAAAAUUAGAGUGUUUAAAGCAGGCUCACGCUUGAAUACAUUAGCAUGGAAUAAUGAAAUAGGACGUUUGAUUCUAUUUUGUUGGUUUCUAGGAUCGACGUAAUGAUUAAUAGGGAUAGUUGGGGGCAUUAGUAUUCAAUUGUCAGAGGUGAAAUUCUUGGAUUUAUUGAAGACUAACUACUGCGAAAGCAUUUGCCAAGGAUGUUUUCAUUAAUCAAGAACGAAAGUUAGGGGAUCGAAGACGAUCAGAUACCGUCGUAGU
rnacentral:rRNA from 1 species